rnacentral:rRNA from 1 species
GAUGAACGCUAGCGACAGGCUUAACACAUGCAAGUCGAGGGGCAUCAUGAGGUAGCAAUACCUUGAUGACGACCGGCGCACGGGUGAGUAACGCGUAUGCAACCUGCCCGAUACCGGGAUAUAGCCCAUGGAAACGUGGCUUACAACCACAUAGCACUUUUAUCCUGCCUGGGCUGGGAGUUAAAUGUGCAAGGUAUCGGAUGGGUCUGCGUCCUAUUAGUUAGUUGGCGGGGUAACAGCCCACCACGACGAUGAUAGGUAGGGGUUCAUAGAGGAAGGUCCACCACAGUGGAACUGAGACACGAUCCAAACUCCUACGGGAAGCAGCAGUGAGAAAUAUUGGUCGAUGGACGUAAGUCUGAACCAGCCAAGUCGCGUGAGGGAAGACUGCCCUAUGGGUUGUAAACCUCUUUUAUAAGGGAAGAAUAAGUUCUACGUGUAGAAUGAUGCCUGUACCUUAUGAAUAAGCAUCGGCUAACUCCGUGCCAGCCGCCGCAGUAA